AAGUCGUAACAAGGUUUCCGUAGGUGAACCUGCGGAAGGAUCAUUAACGAGUUUUUGAAAGGGGUUGUAGCUGGCCAUGAAAAUUGGCAUUCUGUGCACACCCUGACUCAUCCACUCUCACACCCCUGUGCACUUACUGUAGGCUUGAGUGGGACAGGCUGACCUCGGUCGGUCUCGAAAACUUUGCUUACGUUUUUACUUACAAACGCUUCAGUCAAAGAAUGUAAAUGUCGCGUGCGACGCAUUUUAAUACAACUUUCAGCAACGGAUCUCUUGGCUCUC
rnacentral:misc_RNA from 1 species